rnacentral:rRNA from 1 species
GUCUGUGUCCAUGCCAUCCUGAAUGGGCCUAAUCUUGUCUGAUCUAAGAAGCUAAGCAGGGUUGGGCCUGGUUAGUGCUUGGAUGGGAGAGAGGGAGAAAAGGGGAGAGAGAGAGA